GACGCACGCUGGCGGCGUGCCUAAUACAUGCAAGUCGAACGCAGUGGGGAUGGCUGAGUAACACGUGGGUAACCUCCCAUCAGAGGGGAUAACACUUGGAAACAGGUGCUAAACCGAUACUGAUGGAUGGACCCGCGGUGCAUUAGCUAGUUGGUGAGGUAACGGCUCACCAAGGCCACGAGGCAUAGCCGACCUGAGAGGGUGAUCGGCCACACUGGAACUGAGACACGGCCCAGACUCCUACGGGAGGCAGCAGGGGGGAAUAUUCGGCAAUGGACGAAAGUCGUACCGUGCCAGGCCGCGUGGGUGAAGAAGGUUUUCGGGUCGUAAAACACUGUUAUUGGGGAAGCGGUAUCUAAACAGAAAGCCAAGGCUAACUACGUGCCAGCAGCCGCGGUAAUAC
rnacentral:rRNA from 1 species